rnacentral:rRNA from 1 species
UACGUAGGGGGCAAGCGUUGUCCGGAUUUAUUGGGCGUAAAGAGCGUGUAGGCGGCUAGGUAGGUCCGUUGUGAAAACUCGAGGCUCAACCUCGAGACGCCGGUGGAAACCAUCUAGCUAGAGUCCGGAAGAGGAGAGUGGAAUUCCUGGUGUAGCGGUGAAAUGCGCAGAUAUCAGGAAGAACACCCGUGGCGAAGGCGGCUCUCUGGGACGGUACUGACGCUGAGACGCGAAAGCGUGGGGAGCAAACAGG